CCUACGGGAGGCAGCAGUGGGGAAUUUUGGACAAUGGGCGAAAGCCUGAUCCAGCCAUUCCGCGUGAGUGAAGAAGGCCUUCGGGUUGUAAAGCUCUUUCGCAAGGGAAGAAACGAUGCAGUCGAAUAAACUGUGUUAAUGACGGUACCUUGAUAAGAAGCACCGGCUAACUACGUGCCAGCAGCCGCGGUAAUACGUAGGGUGCAAGCGUUAAUCGGAAUUACUGGGCGUAAAGCGUGCGCAGGCGGUUUUGUAAGUCAGAUGUGAAAUCCCCGAGCUCAACUUGGGAACUGCGUUUGAAACUACAAGACUAGAAUAUGUCAGAGGGGGGUAGAAUUCCACGUGUCGCAGUGAAAUGCGUAGAGAUGUGGAGGAAUACCAAUGGCGAAGGCAGCCCCCUGGGAUAAUAUUGACGCUCAUGCACGAAAGCGUGGGGAGCAAACAGGAUUAGAUACCCUGGUAGUCCACGCCCUAAACGAUGUCUACUAGUUGUUGGUGGAGUAAAAUCCAUGAGUAACGCAGCUAACGCGUGAAGUAGACCGCCUGGGGAGUACGGUCGCAAGAUUAAAACUCAAAGGAAUUGACGG
rnacentral:rRNA from 1 species